UAGAGAUGGUGACUUCUGCUAGGCACUUUCUUGCAUCCACUGCUCAUGUAGAACUCUCAGAUUCGAUCUCUCAUGCUCCAUCCAUAGAAGAGAGCCUCCAAUCCAUGAUGGAAUACUUAAGGAACCUCCUACCAUCUGUCGAGAGGUUGUUCUUCAAUGAAUAAAAGAGGGAGAGGCGAUCUGCCGAUGCCUAUGAUGCCA
rnacentral:lncRNA from 1 species